rnacentral:misc_RNA from 1 species
AAGCAUUGGAAUAGAACAGAAAAAUCAAGGAUGAUUUUUUUUAUUAUUAUUUUUAAUCAAUUCUGGAGUAGUGCAACAAUUUUGCCAGAUUAAAGAUUAGGAGUUGAUGACCCUACAAUUUGUUCGAAUCUCUCCUGAAGUACCUGUCAAAACAUCAAGUUGACCCAUCUUCACCAUGGCCGCAACAAAUUUCCUUCCCCAAAGAAUGGGAUUCCUUGCAUUUAGAUUCACUUGGCUUGCUGUUGCAGGGUUUGUCAGGAGAGUCUGGUCUGAAGUGAACAAGCCUCUGUUUGCUUGGAUAUCUAUGUAGUAUCCUACAUCUGUUGUGCUUGGACUAGAAGGAUUCAUGGGUACCACUAAGCUAGGAUCUGUGCUUCCUUGUGGGCACUGCUGCUUCAACCUGGCCGCAUAUGUAGCAUCUAAGCUUGGAUCCUGACUAUUUGUUCCAUUGAAGUUGUAUAAUCUGUUGCUGAAGGAAGUGCAGUGUGAACGACCGAUGGUGUGUGCUCCAGAAAGUGUAACCAUUUCAUCUUGUGAGAAACCCUUGUUUGCAAAUGAUUGAGUCAGCUGGUUGACAUUAAAUGUUGGACUGGGUAAGUUUGUUAAAGUCUCCGAGGACAAAGAAAUUUUCCCAUCUCUUCUUCCUGCAGGAACAUCAUAGCCAAGCCCUCCGGUUAUCUCAACACUAUCUCUUGCUGCAAAUGCGAGUAUAUCAGCACAGGAAACAAUUCCUUUACAAACGGCUUCUAGCCUUGACUUUGCGUUGUCAAUGACUUCAAACCCUCUCAGACUUGGGUUAUUGACAGGCGAGUCUUUCUCUGCUGUGUUUGAGGGUGUGGAGUCAAUAAGCACAGAAGCAUCACACCCCUAUACGCAUAAUAAAAGCACUUUAAUUUCAAGUCUAAUAAUAUAAAGAAGUGAGCGUUUACAUAUUUCCACAAUUGUCAUUAUACUAGUAGUAGUUGAGUAUAAUAAAGUAUCUCCAUUAUAGUAGAGGAAUUCAAUCUCAUUUAAGAAUUUUCCAUGUACCUUAUAAGAAAGAAAAUCUCCCCAGCUACAUAUAGUAACUACUUAGCACUUACCCUAACAAAGCAAUCGUGAAAGUGCAUUCUUACUAGACCAGCAGCAACUCCUUUUUCCUUAGCAAAAGCAGCCCUAACCUCGUCUUUGACAAUGAACUCAGCUAAACCACACGAGUUUGCAUAAAAACCAACUUGAAGCUGAGAAAGAACACCCAUUUGACAGAACAAAAUAAGCACUGAAACCACACAUAGUUGAUCAGCUAGAUUCUUUGGAUGAGUCAUUAUCUCCUACAGUUUCAAAU